CACGUAUUUAGCCGUCGCUUCUUCUGGUGGUACCGUCACUUUCUUCUUCCCACCUGAAAGCACUUUACAAUCCGAAGACCUUCAUCGUGCACACAGAGUUGCUGGAUCAGACUUUUGGUCCAUUGUCCAAUAUUCCCCACUGCUGCCUCCCGUAGGAGUAAGGGCCGUGUCUCAGUCCCCUUGUGGCCGUUCACCCUCUCAGGCCGGCUAUCCAUCGUCGCCUUGGUAGGCCAUUACCCUACCAACUAGCUAAUGGAACGCAAAGUUCUCCUCCAGCGCAUAUAGCUUUCAUUAAGUCCUCGAUGCCGAGGUCUCAUAAUAUCCGGUAUUAGCUAACCUUUCGAUUAGUUGUCCCAGUCUGAAGGCAAAUUCUUUACGCGUUACUCACCCGUCCGCCACCGUACUAUCUUCCGAAGAAGAAUUCCAGUCGACUUGCAUGUGUUAAGCAUUCUGUCAGCGUUCAUCCUGACGCCAGGAUCAAACUCU
rnacentral:rRNA from 1 species